GCUAGUUGCAUCAUAGGUAGAUAUGAUGCAAGAUCGACUAUGUUGAAUAAAAUUCUAGGUAGAAUUAUGAUAAUGACAUUGUCUGCCUAUGUGUCUUGACCAAAUUACGUGCCAGCAGUCGCGGUAAUACGUAGAAGACUAGUGUUAUUCAUGUUUAAUCGGUUUAAAGGGUACCUAGACGGUAGAUCAAGCUUUCUAAUAAAGGAAAAGGACUAGUUUACUAGAGUUACUUAUGAGGGGGUAUUAAAGUACUGCUGGUGUAGAGAUGAAAUUCUGUCAUACCUCUUUUCAAAAGAAAAACCAUGGCACAGGUAUAGGCGAAGGCAUCCCCUUAUGUGAUAACUGACGUUGAGGGACGAAGGCUUUGUGUAGCGAACAGGAUUAGAUACCCCAGUAGUCGAAGCAGAAAAUGAUGAAUGUCAUAGAUUAGAUAUAUAAGUUUAUUCUAUAAAUGAAAGUGUAAGCAUUCCACCUCAUGAGUAAUUUGGCAACAUUGGAACUGAAAUCAUUAGACCGUUUCUGAAACCAGUAGUGAAGUAUGUUGUUUAAUUUGAUGUCCCGCAAAAAACCUUACCACAAUUUGAAUAUUUAUAUUGUUUAUUGUUUUAUUAUUAAUUUUCUUUUACGUAAAAGAAAAGAGAGAUGUAGGA
rnacentral:rRNA from 1 species